AGUGAACGCUGGCGGUAGGCCUAACACAUGCAAGUCGAACGGCAGCACAGUAAGAGCUUGCUCUUACGGGUGGCGAGUGGCGGACGGGUGAGGAAUACAUCGGAAUCUACUUUUUCGUGGGGGAUAACGUAGGGAAACUCACGCUAAUACCGCAUACGACCUACGGGUGAAAGCAGGGGAUCUUCGGACCUUGCGCGAUUGAAUGAGCCGAUGUCGGAUUAGCUAGUUGGCGGGGUAAAGGCCCACCAAGGCGACGAUCCGUAGCUGGUCUGAGAGGAUGAUCAGCCACACUGGAACUGAGACACGGUCCAGACUCCUACGGGAGGCAGCAGUGGGGAAUAUUGGACAAUGGGCGCAAGCCUGAUCCAGCCGUACCGCGUGGGUGAAGAAGGCCUUCGGGUUGUAAAGCCCUUUUGUUGGGAAAGAAAAGCAGCAGGUUAAUACCCCGCUGUUCUGACGGUACCCAAAGAAUAAGCACCGGCUAACUUCGUG
rnacentral:rRNA from 1 species